rnacentral:pre_miRNA from 1 species
UGUUAAAAAUUUCAUCUAUUUAUAUCGAUAAGUGUGACUAAUGGAAUAACUAAACAAAAAUACAUGGUAUGUAACGUGUUUUUCAUGUUAAUGUACAAUGAUGAGUUUUUAAUAAUAGAAUUAGAUGGAAUUUUUGACA